AACAUCAUGGUGAACCGUCAUGGCAACACGGCACAUAUUUACAGUCUCUCGAGCACACAGCACAGUCACCGUGGAGUUUUGAAACAGCCAGACCCCAGAGAAAAAGCUUCUCAAACCAAGACCCAUGCAUAAGAGCACUUCUCCAGUCCAACAACAAAUUCUUAUGGAGCAGCAGAGAAACCUUAUAAGGAUGGUGCAAGAUCUAAAAGCACACAAUGUUUGUGAAACCACAGAGGCUGACCAUUUAAGUCCAAAAAGAUUUCCCAUUAAAGACUUAAGGUCAUUAACAUCUCUGGAAAGUGACCUUCGAUCCUGUCCAGAAACUAGACGAAAAGUGGUACUUGAACUAGGAUUGCUGGGUGGAGUAAAUGUAAAGGACACGGUCUGGCGAAUUAUGAGGCUGGCCAUCAAAAAUGACUUUGCCAAAGCGGUGAACUGGAAAGGUGUAAAGGUGCUUGGUUUCUGUAGUCUUUGUUAUUUUUGUAUUUUAAAUAUUUGUUUUCAU